rnacentral:rRNA from 1 species
GUGGGGAAUCUUGCGCAAUGGGCGAAAGCCUGACGCAGCCAUGCCGCGUGAAUGAUGAAGGUCUUAGGAUUGUAAAAUUCUUUCACCGGGGACGAUAAUGACGGUACCCGGAGAAGAAGCCCCGGCUAACUUCGUGCCAGCAGCCGCGGUAAUACGAAGGGGGCUAGCGUUGCUCGGAAUUACUGGGCGUAAAGGGCGCGUAGGCGGACAGUUUAGUCAGAGGUGAAAGCCCAGGGCUCGACCUUGGAAUUGCCUUUGAUACUGGCUGUCUUGAGUACGGGAGAGGUGAGUGGAACUCCGAGUGUAGAGGUGAAAUUCGUAGAUAUUCGGAAGAACACCAGUGGCGAAGGCGACUCACUGGCCCGUUACUGACGCUGAGGCGCGAAAGCGUGGGGAGCAAACAGGAUUAGAUACCCCGGUAGUCC